rnacentral:rRNA from 1 species
AUUGAACGCUGGCGGCAUGCUUUAUACAUGCAAGUCGAACGGUAACAGGGUGCUUGCACCGCUGACGAGUGGCGAACGGGUGAGUAAUGCGUCGGAACGUGCCGAGUAGUGGGGGAUAACGCAGCGAAAGUUGUGCUAAUACCGCAUACGUACUGAGGUAGAAAGGGGGGGACCUUCGGGCCUCACGCUAUUCGAGCGGCCGAAGUCUGAUUAGCUAGUAGGUGAGGUAAAGGCUCACCUAGGCGACGAUCAGUAGCGGGUCUGAGAGGAUGAUCCGCCACACUGGGACUGAGACACGGCCCAGACUCCUACGGGAGGCAGCAGUGGGGAAUUUUGGACAAUGGGCGAAAGCCUGAUCCAGCCAUGCCGCGUGUCUGAAGAAGGCCUUCGGGUUGUAAAGGACUUUUGUCAGGGAGGAAAUCCCUAGUGCUAAUAACACUGGGGGAUGACAGUACCUGAAGAAUAAGCACCGGCUAACUACGUGCCAGCAGCCGCAGUAA